CGCACAGUCAGUUAUUUCAUCCAGAAAAUCUGAAGGCCCUACAAACUAACCAGUUGCAGGAAAAAAAGAUUCUACAUAAUGUUAAAGUAAAAGACAGAGUGAAAAGAUCAAGGUUCUGAACAAAAUUGGACGGAGAAGGCCUGUUUGACCUCAGGGUGAAUCAGACUGAACAACAAUUGUCUGUGGUUGCGGUAACUGAGAAGAGAGCGGCUGUGUGUCGUGAAUACCUGGGAAGCGUUCUCAUCCCGUGUGAGGCUGAAAAAAAUCUCCCUAUUACUGUUUCCAUUGGCUAAGGAAUGUGAUCCUUGUGAGGGCAUGAAAGAAUUUAUAUAAAUUGGACAAGCACAGCAAUGCACAUUAUGCCACAAUGUGACGCAAACCACAGUUAGUUAAUGUUAUUAUUGAACAUAUGGAAUAUGAAAAAAGAAUGAAAAUGAGAUAUCAAAAUUACAUAAUCAAUACUACUCUAAUUUAGAGGAAUGAUA
rnacentral:lncRNA from 1 species